rnacentral:rRNA from 1 species
UGGGAGCUUGCUCCCUGAUGUUAGCGGCGGACGGGUGAGUAACACGUGGGUAACCUGCCUGUAAGACUGGGAUAACUCCGGGAAACCGGGGCUAAUACCGGAUGGUUGUUUGAACCGCAUGGUUCAAACAUAAAAGGUGGCUUCGGCUACCACUUACAGAUGGACCCGCGGCGCAUUAGCUAGUUGGUGAGGUAACGGCUCACCAAGGCAACGAUGCGUAGCCGACCUGAGAGGGUGAUCGGCCACACUGGGACUGAGACACGGCCCAGACUCCUACGGGAGGCAGCAGUAGGGAAUCUUCCGCAAUGGACGAAAGUCUGACGGAGCAACGCCGCGUGAGUGAUGAAGGUUUUCGGAUCGUAAAGCUCUGUUGUUAGGGAAGAACAAGUACCGUUCGAAUAGGGCGGUACCUUGACGGUACCUAACCAGAAAGCCACGGCUAACUACGUGCCAGCAGCCGCGGUAAUACGUAGGUGGCAAGCGUUGUCCGGAAUUAUUGGGCGUAAAGGGCUCGCAGGCGGUUUC